GCGGAGGGCCGGAUGGCCGCUGGCGCCUGCGGGCGCGAGAGGAAAGUCCGGACUCCACGAGGCAACGGUGCCGGGUAACGCCCGGGCGGGGCAACCCGACGGAUAGCGCCACAGAAAACAAACCGCCCCGGUCUAUCCGGGGUAAGGAUGAAACGGUGGGGUAAGAGCCCACCGCGCCGCUGGCAACAGGGGCGGCAUGGCAAGCCCCACCGGGAGCAAUGCCAAAUAGGACCCCCGCGCGGGCAGGUCCCGGCAACGGGAUACCGCCGCUAGGCACGCGUUGGCCAAGAGGGGUCGGGUUGGCAGCUUGAGGCCCGCAGCAAUGUGGGCCCUAGAGGAAUGGUCAUCUACCGGCGGGGCAACCUGUCGGAGACAGAAUCCGGCUUACAGGCCCUCCGCGCAU
rnacentral:RNase_P_RNA from 1 species